UACGGAGGAUGCAAGCGUUAUCCGGAUUUAUUGGGUUUAAAGGGAGCGUAGGCGGACUAUUAAGUCAGCUGUGAAAGUUUACGGCUCAACCGUGAAAUUGCAGUUGAAACUGGUCGUCUUGAGUGCAGUAAAGGUGGGCGGAAUUCGUGGUGUAGCGGCGAAAUGCUUAGAUAUCACGAAGAACUCCAAUUGCGAAGGCAGCUCACUGGAGUGUAACUGACGCUGAUGCUCGAAAGUGUGGGUAUCAAACAGGAUUAGAUACCCUGGUAGUCCACACAGUAAACGAUGAAUACUCGCUGUUUGCGAUAUACAGUAAGCGGCCAAGCGAAAGCGUUAAGUAUUCCACCUGGGGAGUACGCCGGCAACGGUGAAACUCAAAGGAAUUGACGGGGGCCCGCACAAGCGGAGGAACAUGUGGUUUAAUUCGAUGAUACGCGAGGAACCUUACCCGGGCUUGAAUUGCACUCGAAUAACUUGGAAACAGGUUAGCCGCAAGGCGAGUGUGAAGGUGCUGCAUGGUUGUCGUCAGCUCGUGCCGUGAGGUGUCGGCUUAAGUGCCAUAACGAGCGCAACCCUUAUUUUCAGUUACUAACAGGCAAUGCUGAGGACUCUGAAAAGACUGCCGUCGUAAGAUGUGAGGAAGGUGGGGAUGACGUCAAAUCAGCACGGCCCUUACGUCCGGGGCUACACACGUGUUACAAUGGAUGGUACAGAAGGCAGCUACACGGCAACGUGAUGCUAAUCCCCAAAACCAUUCUCAGUUCGGAUUGGAGUCUGCAACUCGACUCCAUGAAGCUGGAUUCGCUAGUAAUCGCGCAUCAGCCACGGCGCGGUGAAUACGUUCCCGGGCCU
rnacentral:rRNA from 1 species